rnacentral:lncRNA from 1 species
CACCAAACACGUAUUUUUAAAUACAAGAGGGGAGAAAACUCCCUUUUACGUUCAACGUGCCCUUGCAAUAAAAAUUUAUGUGUUACGACAUGUCGCAACUAACAAUUUAGUAAAAAUAAUUUGUUGAUAUCUUAUACGGUCUUUGGAUAUAAGUGAAAAUAAGCCAAAUUCAAAUAUUAGAAUAUGACCUUGACCUUUGACCUUGACCUAAUUUUCAUUUUUUUGGACCAAGGACCUCAAAUCAAAAGAUCCUAGGUC